GCAUGUUCACAUGAUUAAAGGUAUUCCGGUAGACGAUGGGGAUGCGUUCCAUUAGAUAGUAGGCGGGGUAACGGCCCACCUAGUCUUCGAUGGAUAGGGGUUCUGAGAGGAAGGUCCCCCACAUUGGAACUGAGACACGGUCCAAACUCCUACGGGAGGCAGCAGUGAGGAAUAUUGGUCAAUGGGCGAGAGCCUGAACCAGCCAAGUAGCGUGAAGGAUGACUGCCCUAUGGGUUGUAAACUUCUUUUAUAAAGGAAUAAAGUCGGGUAUGCAUACCUGUUUGCAUGUACUUUAUGAAUAAGGAUCGGCUAACUCCGUGCCAGCAGCCGCGGUAAUACGGAGGAUCCGAGCGUUAUCCGGAUUUAUUGGGUUUAAAGGGAGCGUAGAUGGAUGUUUAAGUCAGUUGUGAAAGUUUGCGGCUCAGCCGUAAAAUUGCAGUUGAUACUGGAUAUCUUGAGUGCAGUUGAGGCAGGCGGAACUCGUGGUGUAGCGGUGAAAUGCUUAGAUAUCACGAAGAACUCCGAUUGCGAAGGCAGCCUGCUAAGCUGCAACUGACAUUGAGGCUCGAAAGUGUGGGUAUCAAACAGGAUUAGAUACCCUGGUAGUCCACACGGUAAACGAUGAAUACUCGCUGUUUGCGAUAUACAGCAAGCGGCC
rnacentral:rRNA from 1 species